rnacentral:lncRNA from 1 species
ACUGUGCAUCCAGGCACGGAGGAUGUUGCAUUCCUGCCGUCACCUUUGUCGCUGCGAGGGCGGCGGUUGGGAUCUGGCCUUUCCAGCCCCGAGAGGGACCUAGUGCCUCUACCCAGAUUUCUGUCGCUCUGUCACCUGCGCUAUGCCCUGCUUUACUCACAGGAGCUGUAGAGAGGACCCCGGUACAUCUGAAAGCCGGGAAAUGGUGCGUGUGCUGGCCGGGAGUGGUGCGAUGGGGGAGGGGCUGCCUGGAACUGGCGGGACCCGGGCCUCCCUGUGGGCGACUCCGGGGUCUGGGACCGAGUCCUCCUAGAGCUGCUCGGCCCUCGGUCCCCGCGGCCGCUGGAUGUGGGUGGGCCGGCAGCCGGGACUCCGGGCGUCCUGUCCCGUCCCUGCCCGUCGACUGCGGCCUUGGCCCCGAAGCCCUUUUGUGCAGCUCCGCGCCCGCAGCCCGACGCCCCAGCUUGUGCGGGGGCCACGGGAGGGUCAUGCGCGGAUUUCGACUCGGGUGUGGAUUUCGUCCGUAGGAGGAGCAGCGGUCUGUGGGGCCCACAGCCUCCACUUUCUCCUGUUAAAAAUUAUACUGAGGUACGUUAACAAAAAGUUCAUUUGAGGAAACAGCCAUUCACGAAUGAGAAACACCCGGUCCUGGCUUGUGGUUUGUCAACGGAAAAAAAACAGACUAUGUAAAAUACAGAAGUGUAUUCAGAGCCGAGUAGGAGAGACCUUGGCCGAGGGAAACACAACCCCAAGCAGCCUGGAGUAAGUGGUCCGGAGGCGGCUCAGGACAGUUUGGUUUUAUUCAUUUCAGAGAGACAGGAAUUGCAGGGAAAAUGAUGGAUCAAGGCUGGAAGGUGUAAAUUCCAUUGGCAGAAAGGGUGGGACCUGUGGAAGGGGGGUUAGGAGGCACAGGUGGUUGAGGGAUUCUGUAGGUGGCAGCUGGUUGAGAGUGUGAAGCUUUGUCUAAAGUUUGGAGGAGGUAGGAAGGAAUGCUGAAGGAAGGGGGUCUGUUAUCUGCCACUUCAUUCCAUCCCAGCCAAAAAACAGUCCUGUUUCUCUAGAUUUUAUGAAUUCUAAGACGUAACUUUACCUUUGCCUUGCGUGGCCUUAGGUCUUGUUUGUAAUUUGGUAUCUUGUUGCCACAAGGAGUCUGUUUUUCCAGUCAGAGAAUGUCUGUUUUUACAUGAAUGUGCGUCAGUUGCUGCAUGUAAACUCCUAAAGGGAGAGGGUAUAAGGAGACCUGUCUCACCUCCCAUCCUGUCAUACAGAGGCACUCAAUUUUCAGGGUGUUUUGGGGGUUCCCUUGGCCAAGAGCCAGUCACUUCACUUAGCUGGGAAGGUACUUUGUUUGUUUUUGUUUUUGUUUGAGACGGAGUCUCCUUCUGUCGCCCAGGCUGGUGUGCAAUGGCUCGAUCUCGGCUCACUGCAACCUCUGCCUUCUGGGUUCAAGGGAUUCUCCUGCCUCAGCCUCCUGAGUAGCUGGGAUUACAGGCACGCACCACCACCCCCAGCUAAUUGUUGUAUUUUUAGUAGAGAUGGGGUUUCACCAUGUUGGCCAGGCUGUUCUCAAACUCCUGACCUCAAGUGAUCCACCCCCCUCGGCCUCCCAAAGUGCUGGGAUUACAGAUGUGAGCCACAUCGCCAUGCCAGAAGAUAUGUUUUUAUUUUUGUUUUACAUGUUUAAGGCUAGGCUUUUAUAAGGUACAUGAGGAGACAAACCAGAUAAAUGCUUGAUUGGUUGCAGAGAUGCAGUCGCCUUAUUUGGACUUGUCAACCGGAAAUAAUCAAAAGGUUCAGAUUUCAGUUGGAAGAGUUUAUUCAAGCAGAAAGAUAGCAAUGACCAAAACACAGACUCCAGAAAAAUGGACUCAGUACUCCAAAAUUGGAAGUUAUGUUCUUGCUUAUAUUACUGAAAAAAGAGGUCCUGAUCAGACCCCAAGAGAGUUCUUGGAUCUCACACAGGAAGGAAUUCAAGACGAGUCACAAAGUGCAGUGCGAAGAGAGUUUAUUGAAAGCUACUCUGGGCCAGCAUGAUGGCUUAGGCCUGUAAUCCAAGCACUUUGGGAGGCCCAGGCGAGAGGAUCACUUGAGCUCAGGAGUUCGAGACCAGCCUGGGCAACUUAGCGAAACCCCGUCUCUUCCAAAAAUAAGAAAAAUUAGCCGGAUGUGGUGGCCUGUGCCUGUAGUCUCAGUUACUCAGGAGGCUGAGGUGGGACAAUCACUUGAACCUGGGAGGCAGAGGUUGCAGCCCAGCCGAGGAUGCGCCACUGCACUCCAGCCUGGGUAACAGAGUGAGACCCCAUCUCAAAAAACAAAAACAAAACAAACAAACAAAAAAGAGUUGAAGACCAACCUGGCCAACACAGCGAGACCCUGUCUCUAUUU